UGGUGGAGUGAUUUGUCUGGUUAAUUCCGAUAACGAACGAGACCUUAACCUGCUAAAUAGCCAGGCCGGCUUCUGCUGAUCGCCGGCUUCUUAGAGGGACUGUCAGUGUCUAACUGACGGAAGUUUGAGGCAAUAACA
rnacentral:rRNA from 1 species